rnacentral:misc_RNA from 1 species
ACGAUUUAUCGCACCAACUUUGCCGUAAUCCUCAGUCAACAUGUGUCGCGGCCGUUUGAUAACCAAUUUUUUAUGACAUUUGUCAAGAUGCAGACGAGAACAUUAAGCGAAUUCCUUAAGUUGUCUCAGACCUUUUGUAGGCGGAAUCUCUCAACUAUUCAUUUUCAUAAACACAGAUACUUGCCAGAAAAGUCCUUGACUAGCGUUUUUAACACACAUGGAGGGACCAGACUCCCCUGGCUGUGUGGUGCCAGUCAACCCUUUUCAACCUCAUUCCAUGUUCUGUUUUAUUAAGAUUAGCAAUCAUACCAGCAACGUUGGCACUUAGUAAAUUGCAGAAAAGAAAAUUUUUUGUUUUAUCAACAAUGAAAAGGAGUGUUAAUUUAACAGCAAUAAAAAAGAAAAAAGGAGGUGUAACGACAGAUUUGGUGAAAUUAAACAACAGCAUUUUUAAUCAUGGUCCUAAAGAUGCUAUUCGGUUUACAUUAGGACAGAAUUUAGUUGAGAUUGCUGCUCUCUUGGUUUUUUGUGAGAGUUACCAAUCAAUCAUCAGUCUACUGGGAUUAGAUUAUUUCUCUACAGUGAGUUGGGAAUGGUCAGGUUUUCUUUUAAUUAUGAUGUGGACCUCAAUGCUUCUCUCUCCCAGAAUAGCCGCCACAGGAAAUGUUUACUGGUGGGCCCCACUUUUCUUUUCACUGUAUCCUGCGCUAUUUGUAGCUCUCCUUCCGAUAAGCCUCCAGUCCUAUAUGGUCCCAAUGUUUUUUGCAAGAUCAGUAGUACAAAGACUCAGGAUGAAAUGAGAGUUAAAUUAGAAUAUUGAUGCUGAUCCCACCAAGGCAAUUGUGAAAUUCAUCUAUGAACCUCCACAAGGUUGUUCCAAAAUAUUCCAAUAGAAACUUCUCUUGAUGUUUGACUUUGUGUAAAAGAGACAAUGAUGAUUAUAUUAGGGAAGUUUCGACAUAAAUAGACAUAUAGACAGAAUUGUGGCUAUGUACAUGUAGCAUCCAGUAUGUAUGUGAAAUGUUCUGUCAUAUACACAUUACAUGUAGGCUUAUGAUGUUUCAACAUGUUUCACAGGCUAUCAGUGCAUUAUGUAAAUAACAUGUUUGUGCAAGUUUAAUGGUCAUCAACAAUUUUAAAUCCAUUGAAGUCCAAUGGCUCUUCUAUUAUGGCUUUGAAGUGAAAUGAAAACUAUAUUUUGUUUUAUAACAAGUGCCUGUGUACAUCACUGACCAUAGGGGACUGCUGGAUAAACAUCUCAACUAUAUUGGCUCUGUAAUGAUGACUACAGUUUUUGUUAUGAGCAAACUGCUUCACUCGCCAUUUUUAUAAAACUGUAUGCUCAUCUCCUUUUUUACUUCGCAAAUUUAAAAUAGGAUAUACAGUAACAUUUUUGUACAUUUAUCCACAAACAUGCCACCCGAAAUGCCAUGCUAUUGUAUAUAUGCCUGACAGGCAGAGUAUGAACAAGACUUGGCAUAGUUUGAUUUGUUGUGAUCCCACCACACUGUCAUUGAUAGCAAUUACAUCUGCUAAUGCAACUUCUGACCUGUCCAUUAAUGAAAGUGUAUUCAUGAAUGUAAUGUAAAUUUGUUAAAUUUUGUUAAAAUUAGAUGAUGGAAAACUUGUCACUGCACACCAUUAUUAUAAUUUUUUAAAUGUGUUCUACAUGCACUACAUAUGAAAUAAAAUGAGGAAAAAAUCUCAAAUACAUG